GUCUUCUAGGUGGCUACCUAGAAGGAGCCUGUUUAGGUGUGUCCUAGUUCUACUUCUCAUUUGUUAAGAACAACACAUUAGACAAAUCAGAAUAUGGGGCUACAGUAUAGUCCUCCUACCUUACCCCUCAGCUGAAGCUGGCUGCUUUGCAGGAGUGCUGCUCUCCAGUCUAUAUCUGUCUGGCCAUUGACUUGGAAUGAUGUGCAAUAAUAUCCAGGGCCUAAUUUUCCUCACCUUACUAUUGGACUUCGAUGAACUUGCAUCACCUUUAGCAUGAGGAAAAUGAGCCUAUGACAUGGAAAUUUCGAUGCUUGAUUUUAAUUUAGAUUUUGAUUGAUUCUCCUUGGGCAAUUCAUGUUUUACAUUGAUAGAAGAUGGUGCAGUUAAGCAGGACCAAAAUAAAAAUUGUUCUGAUAUUUCAGCGGUUAACUUGCAUCUGUAGUGGAAGUGACAGCAGAAUAUAUUCAUGAAUCACCUCAGUUCCCCCAGACAAUAAACGAGAACACUACAACUGAACAAUUGCCUGCAGAUAAUAAAACCUUUAUUUCCUUUCAAGCACCGAAAUUUCCUUUUGAUUAAAUAAUUCCAUGUUUGAGUGCAGUUUGCAGGUAGGACACGCUUAUGUAAACCCCGCUGAUUAGAGCAGCAUCCUGAGGAAUUUAUCACGUCAGGAUUUUCAGCUUCAGCCUGUUGUGGCAAAGUAAAUCUUGCUAAGUAGUCUGCGCAUCUAAUCCUCCAGACUCUUUCACACUGGCUUUAGCACCUCUAGCUCUAGCGCAGUGCUUCAGGUUUACAAGCUGCUGAUUGCUCUGGGGUGCAGCUGUCUGGGUUAGAUUAUCAACUGGGAUUUACUGGGACCUGCCAGCCGAGCAGACACGGAUGGAGAGGGAUGCUCCUGCCCGGGGGGAGCGAGGGAGCCCCCAGAUCAGCCUUCGGCAGAUUAUCAGAUCACACACCAGCAGCCUUGAGAUGGGAACCAGCUGGAUUGUGUAAAGCACCCAUCUGAGGCUCUGUACGGUGCUGGCAAGGGCUGGAAGCACGGCCACUGCCUGGGUACUACUGGCCAUAGGAUGCCUUUCUUGUAAUUUGUGCUCAGGUGUGUGUUCAGCAUCCGUAAAAACUGCCAUUUGCAGCACCCAGUGAUUCGAAGGAGCGGGCUCACAAAAUGUGGGAACAAUGCAAAGGAUGUAUUUUAAUUGAAUUUCUGAAAUGUUAGACAAGUAUGCCAACAACACUGCAGUUUUUAAAAAUUAAGGGAAGCUAUAUUAUUUCUGUUUCUUCUUUUUUCUUCUGGAUGGUUGUAGCGUCUCUGAGGAUAUUUUGUGUUCAUAUUGCAUAUUUAUGAGUUGUAACUUAUAAAACCACAUAAAGGUAGAUUGAAAAGUUUUUAUUUGGUUGUUAUUCAUGCAGGACUCCCACAGAAAUUUAUAACUGUGUGUUUAUUUGGAAGUAGAAGGUAUACCUGUCUAAGGGGGUAUACAUUGAUUUCUUUAUUUCAUUUCACAUUUGUUUCCUAUGCUAUGUAUUGGAAGUACACACUGAAAUCCCAGAAAUUCUUAGCUAAGUUCAAAUUCUAACUUUUGGAAAGCUGAGGAAAUGCACAGUGCAAAAUACACUCCUCUGUGCAAAGCAGUCACUUUGCUCAGCGCUGAGCCCCUGCCCCUCCUGCUUCCCCUCCUGGGGCACAAAGUGGCAGAGGCAGGCCACCAGCUCUGUCUCCCUCCUCCCAGGGCCCUUUGGGAAGGGGGAGCAGAAAAGUCACUUCACAAAGCAUGGCCAAAUAAGUUUUCCAAGCAAGCUGCUUUUGUGUUUGCAUCCCAGUCCAGCUGUGCAAGAGCAAGCCUAAAAUAGUGAAUUUAUAGCAGGAAAAUGUGUAUUGAUGAUGUUAGGGGAGUGUCUGUAUGGAUUAAUUUUUUGUGGUUUUUUUGCUCAGCUGAAACAGGUCAUAAUUUUUUCCAACUUUGCUUGGAGAUACCCCUGCAGUGCAAGUGAAACUUGGUGGAAAACUUCUCUUUUUACCCAUAGUAGCAUAUAAGGGGUGGUAACAAGACCUAGACAUCAUCUACUCCUGAGCUCAGUAAAUGUACCAGCAACUCUUGCUGUUUGGGAAUUAAUUAACAGCUGAAUUGAUUAUUUCUGCUUGGUGUAAAGAAAUACCCUUCAAAUGUAAAGGUUACUGAUCCCAUUUAUGUAGAUAGAAUAAAUAUAAGUGCAUACUUUUAGACGGUGUCCACAUGCUUUGCAAUCUCAUUGCCAAGGCAGUUUUACAGUGUUUGACUGACCCUGCUGCCAGGGACAUGGUGUAUUACACCUCACACUACAUUGCUUCUGUGGUGCUGCUUUUUAAAUAACUUUGUGUGGCAGCACCUGUGCUGCAAUGGAGAUCACAGCUCCACACCAUAUUAGUUUUCAGAAACCUCGGGGAAGCAAAUUUUUUUUUCCCAGGCACUUUUCCAGUUUUUUUUCCACAUGCAAUUUUGGCACAAAACUGAGUUGUGCAAGAAUGCUGAAGCCUAACUUCUCAACCUUUGCUCCUGGUGAAAGCUGCUCCCUGCCAGCUGAAGGAAUGAGGAUUGCUCACACAUGCUGUGCUCACCUACCCUCCCUGUUUGUUACUGUGGGUUUCCUUCACUCUUAAAGAAGUAUUUUCCACUUUAUGUGCAAAGAUAAAUUAUGGAUCUUGCUGUUUCCUUUGGGGGAAGUCUAUCCUCCUGCCUGUG